rnacentral:rRNA from 1 species
GCGUCGUCUUCAGAGUUUGAUCCUGGCUCAGGAUGAACGCUGGCGGCGUGCUUAACACAUGCAAGUCGAACGAACGACUGUUAUUGGAACCCUUCGGGGCGAAGAAAAUAGAAGUUAGUGGCGGACGGGUGCGUAACGCGUGGGUAAUCUGCCUUUGUCAAAGGAAUAACUAUUCGAAAGAAUAGCUAAAACCAUAUAACAUAUCACUAGGGCAUCCUAGAGAUAUCAAAACUGAGGUGGACAAAGAUGAGCCCGCGUCUGAUUAGCUAGUUGGUGAGAUAAAAGCCCACCAAGGCAACGAUCAGUAGCCGACCUGAGAGGGUGAACGGCCACAUUGGAACUGAGACACGGUCCAA